GAACGAUGGCCAGGCCGCACAGAAAGAAGGGAAACCCAAAAUGCCUAAGUCCCAGAAGCUGCGGGAUAGGAGUGCGGGUCAGAAGAAAGAUGGCCAGGCCGCAGAAAGACUCGGAAUUUACUCCGAGAUGGUUGUGCGGGUCAGAAGAACGAUGGCCAGGCCGCACAGAAAGGAAGGAAACCCAAAGAGUUUAAGUCCCAAAACCUGCGGGAUGGUUGCGCGGGUCAGAGCAGAGGAUGACCAGGCCGCAGCAUGAAGAGAACGGCCAGAAUGCCUAAGUAACAAAAGCUGCGGGAUGGUUGUGCGGGUCAGAGCAGAGGAUGACCAGGCCGCACGAAAUUUUUUCCGGUUCUACACCGAGACGGUCACACAGCUCGAUCCCGACAGUUCCCGGACGCACAAAAGAGAGAAAGGAGGCCGGUCAAUGAGAAAAGGAUGGGUCAAAGCCUUGACUGGUCAAAAUAGAUCUAUUGACCACCAGUCCAGAGGCUUGACCCUACCCCACACUCUCUCUUCCUCACUACAAACCCGAGUUUGCAACUAUCUCUCACUUUUCUCUCCAUUGUUUUCACCAUAUCUCUCUCAUUUCUCCACCAAAAUUGUUGAUUCAAAGUGCUCUGAGCUCGUUUUUGAGUUGUUAACAUCAUCCUGAUUGCAUUUCGAACUUGUUGCAUCUUAAUCCCAAGGUAUUUCGCCCUGUUGAAACUCAUCUCUUUCCAUGUUCUUCAAUGGUGAUUUUUUGAACUUUAAAGUGUGGAAUCGAUUUUGAUAGGUUGUUUUAGACCUUGGGAUUAUUUUUAUAAAUGCUAGGGUGCUAGAUAGUCUUGGAAAACAGAGCACUUUGUUUGUAAUUACCUGUUCUUGAAUUUUGAAAAUUGUUGCAACAAUUUUUGUACUAACAAUUUUUGAAAAUAUUGUUCAUCCUUGUACUAACAAUAUUUUUGAGAAUCUCUUGGCAGAUGACUGAAAGAACCAACUCUUUGGCCAAGAAGAAGGGCCCUGCAUCAAAAGGCAAAGGUUUGGUCUCAGGAACUUCAAAGCCAAGAAACAAAGGUCAAGGUGCAAAGAAUACUACAAAGCAAGGAAAGUGUGAUCCAGCGCCAAAAAGGACAAGGCCUGAAGGAAGAGCUUUGGUGGUUGCUUCUGGUUCCAAGAAAAAGGGGAAACAGUUGGCUGUGGUAUCUGAGAGUGAACAGACUGAAAGUGACUCCGGCAGCUCAGCUGGUGGUUCCCAAGGCACCAAUGAAGAGGGAUCAAAGAAGUUCAAGAAAACUGAACCAGAAACACCUGAUUAUCUGGCUAAGUUUCAGCAGAUAGAGAUCCAGCAAGGGAGAUUCCCUGAUUUGGACUUUCUGAAGAAGAUUGGCCUCUAUGAAGAUGUCAAGACUUUGCUUGGGAACAUGGGUGUUGAGUCACUUUUGGAGAUGAGAGAAAUCGCUUAUGAGCAAGAGUCCCAAGAGUUCUUGGCCUCCUUUGAAGCUUUCAUUUACUACCCAAGGGAUUCAAGAAUCAUUCAAGGAGAUGGGCUUGGACAUGUGGAGUUUACUGUGAAAGGGAAGGAAUAUUCAGUGUCAUUCAGAGAAUUGAGUAAGAUCUUUGGGUUUUCAGCACCUAGAAAUGAAUUUCUCUCCAACUCGGUCAAUCUCAGAAAAGAUGAGAUCCAACUUCUAUGGAGAUCAAUUGCUUCUGGGAAGUACACAGCUGGAACAGCUAAGGCCUCUUGGAUAAGGAAUCCAGUUCUGAGAUAUGUACACAAGAUUCUCUCUCACAGCUUCUACUUCAAGAUUGAUGUUGGAAGAGUUCACAAAGGAGAUCUGCUGCUUCUGGGUGUAGGGCUGAGGCCGCUGAUGCCAACACAUGAAGAUGGGGAACCCUAUGUAGGGUAUGAAUACCCACUUUGCCUUGCAUCUCAAUUAGCAAGGUCUUUGAUGUUCUACAAAAAGUGCAUGUGGGAUUCUACAAACAAAGAUGCAAAGCUGACCCAUGGAUGGGUGGUAACAAAGAUCUUGAAAGCCAUGGGGUAUAGAUUCAAGGAGAACAAGGCAAAGUUUGAUCUGAUUAAUGAAGCACAUUUGUGUAGGAUUGGCUUUCUCCAAGGAAGAGUGGGUACCAAGGCAGUCUACAACUUCAAGACACUCAUCAGUGAGCCAGCCCAAGUUCUCCUACCCAAUCCCUCCAUCACCACAGUCCAAGUUAAAAGGAACAUUCACUUCUUCUUGCUGAAGGAAGAGCUGUACAAUGUCCAAACUGAUCCACCAAUCCUCACAUACAGGCAAGCUUGCAGAGAAGAAGCCUCCAAGGGAAAGAAAGCAACCGCUGAAGAUGCUACCACAAGUGCAGCUGGUGCUCACGAUGCUGAUCUGCCUCCACCUCAAAAACGUUUUGGUGGAAACAGAUAUCACUUUGAUGAUUACAACUGGGAGGAACCAGGCACUUCAGGGUUCAGAGCUCAACAGAAGAUUGGUAUUCUCCAACAAUGGUGCAAGUACCAAGACAAAACCAUCCACAAGAUGGCCAAGUGCAUCAAGGAGAUGAAGAAGAGGAUCAAGAAGCUUGAAAACCCUUGCAAAGGUGGGGCUCCAGCACCAGUUUCACCAAGGAACAGAGAGGAAGUUGGGGAGAGUUCCAUGAACUGCACAGCCUUGGUCGCAUAUGGAACCACUUGGGUAGAUCUUGACGACGGGAGUGAUGAAGCCAGCCACCAUUCUUGGGAAACACCGUCAGGCCACACAUCGAACCCCUCCUACUCAUUGGGGUCUGAUUUCAACAGCCACUAGGUAACACUCAAAACCUUGUAAAUAGCAUGUAGACUUUCUUUUCCUUUUGCAUUUUGCUUGUUUGCUUUGGUUUCACUUCUUUCUCAUACUUUUAUAACACAAGGGACUGUGUUAUUUAAGUGUGGGGGAGGAGUUUCAUCCUUUACUAACCAUGUUUUCUAUUUUCUCAUUUUACACUUUGAGUCUUGAG
rnacentral:lncRNA from 1 species